GAGGUAGAUGAAUAAUUUAUUAUAAUAGAAAAAUACAACUUCAUUUACUCACACGUUGAAAGAAGUGGAAUACCAACGAAUAUCAAAGCUGUUUU
rfam:Brassica oleracea var. oleracea cultivar TO1000 chromosome C7, whole genome shotgun sequence